ensembl:lncRNA
UUCUCUGGAAGGACAGCCCAUUCUCGGAAAAGGUGUGGCCAGUCCAGUGUCCAAAAGUCUGCGUCUGCUUUUCUUUCAGACAGAGAGUACCAUAAUGGCUGUGGUUAACAGAUGUCUGAAGGUCCUCUUCAUUGGAAUAAACAUCAUACACAUAAUUUUAGCUGGUGUGAUUUUUACACUAGCUAUUAUGCUGGGCACUUACAUAACAAAUCAGUUUCAGGGCCAGGGACAAGAUGCGGGGCUUGGACUGAUACAAGCACCAAUCUGGCUACUGGGUUCAGGUGUCUUGGUGGUGGCCAGCCUUGGUAUCCAUGGUGCCAGAAAAGAGAAGAAGUGGCCCCUGAUCUCGUUUAUUACAGCAAAUGCGAUUUGUCUGACCAUAAUGCUAAUGCAGGGGGCACAGUUUGCCAAAACAAAAAUACUGUGGAGCCAGUUGAGCCAGUUGAGGCCCAACGGCCCAAAUUAUGCUUGGAGUCUCGAUGCUGGAUUGGCUGUCAGCUUUAGCCUUGCUGCCUUAUGGUUCACUGGGAUUAUCCUGGCAGCCAUGAUCAUGCAUCAGCUCCACAGCCGGCAGCCUGCCAUGUCAGAUGUUGAGGGUAAACCCCCAGGAUACUCUCAGAUGUUGAGGGUGAACCCCCAGGAUACUCUCAGAUGUUGAGGGUGAACCCCCAGGAUACUCUCAGAUGUUGAGGGUGAACCCCCAGGAUACUGUCAGAUGUUGAGGGUGAACCCCCAGGAUACUCUCAGAUGUGCCCAAUGAGCAGCAAGUGAGCGGAGAGCUGGACACACAGGAUUCUCCCAAAUCACCACACAGCUAAUGACACAUUAAGUCAAAAUGUCUGUGAUGCAUCUGAAAAAUGUUUGCCUCUCUCUGUCAUGCACUCUCUCUCUCUCUCUCUCUCUCUCUCUCUCUCUCUCUCUCUCUCUCUCUCUCUCACUCUCACUCUCACUCUCACUCUCACUCUCACUCUCUCUCACUCUCACAACAAAGACACACACAUAAGGGCACAUAUUAAAGAAAUGCACAUGACUAAGAAUUAAGUAAAAAUGUAUAUGUAUCUGAAAAAUAUCUGUCUCUCUCUGUAAUGCACACAUACACAUAUACUCUCUCUCUCUCACAUACACACACAUGAUGGCACAUAUUAAAGAAAUACAUAUAUAUAAAUACAUAUAACCUGUGUGUGAUUUAUUUGAACAAGUCUCCAUCUCUCUUCUCUCACUCUCUUUCUCAAACAAGCACACACACACCCACGAAACAGAAGGAACCCAUUAAGAAAGAAAUAAAAUCACAAACUAGUUUGCUCUCCUCCCA